GGUUGCGUGGUGCAAUGGCUUAAGGCGUCAGCCUCGCGCUGUAGCUGAGGGUUCAAGGGUUCGAGUCCCCUGGCAGCCA